rnacentral:rRNA from 1 species
GACGAACGCUGGCGGCGUGCUUAACACAUGCAAGUCGAACGGAAAGGCCCUGCUUUUGUGGGGUGCUCGAGUGGCGAACGGGUGAGUAACACGUGAGUAACCUGCCCUUGACUUUGGGAUAACUUCAGGAAACUGGGGCUAAUACCGGAUAGGAGCUCCUGCUGCAUGGUGGGGGUUGGAAAGUUUCGGCGGUUGGGGAUGGACUCGCGGGUUAUCAGCUUGUUGGUGGGGUAGUGGCUUACCAAGGCUUUGACGGGUAGCCGGCCUGAGAGGGUGACCGGCCACAUGGGGACUGAGAGACGGCCCAGACGCCAACGGGAGGCAGCAGUGGGGAAUAUUGCACAAUGGGCGGAAGCCGGAUGCAGCAACGCCGCGGGCGGGAUGACGGCCUGCGGGUUGUAAACCGCUUUCGCCUGUGACGAAGCGUGAGUGACGGUAAUGGGUAAAGAAGCACCGGCUAACUACGUG